GACCAUAGUGGAAAGAUGAAAUCAACUGGAUUUGGUUCUUAGGUGUAAUAAUGGCAUUUUGGUUAUGUAAGAGAAUGUUCUUAUUUCUAAGAGAUGCACACAGGAAUCUUUAGGGAUGAAGGGCCAUAAUGUCUGUAAUUUACUUUCAAAUGUCCAUCAUAUUCAUACACACAUACACAGUAUAUCUGUGAGAUAAUAAGAGUGAAAAGGUAAAUAGCAUCUUAGUAGUAUUAUGAAAAAAAUAUAUAUGGAGAGAGGGAAAGGGGAGAAAAAGCAAAUAUGAGACAAAAUAUUAGCAAUUUUGAAUCUACAUGAAAGCAAUCUAGUAAAUGAUGAAUCAUUUUAGUCUUCUUCCAGCCCUUUCUGUAGGUUUGACAAUUUUCAAAAUAAAAAGAUGGGGAAAAAAUGAAAAGAAAAAAAAAACUUUAAAAAGUCUUGGUAAUCACUGAUUAGAUAUGAGAGAAAGGGAGUGACUUUCUGGUUCCUUGCCUGGCAACAGAGUAGACAGCACUGUCCUUCCCAAGAGGGAAGUGCAAGAGGAGAAAUCGAAUUGGAGGGAUGAUGAGUUCGUUAUGGAGUGUGUGGACUUUGAGGUGCUCUGGGCUCCAACAGGCAACGUGCAACCCUGAAGUUUUUGAGAGGGAAAUGUGGUAAAGAUGCAGACAUGGGUGUCUUUAGAAUCUAGAUGGUAAUGGAAGGUACUGGGGGACCCUGGAGUAUCAAGGGCAUGUGUGGAGAAUGAGAAGAGAUGAGGUGUGAGGAUGAAAUCCUGGCGGACACUGACAUUUCAGGGUCAGCAAAGAAGGAUAUUGGAGUAGACAACUUCCAAGGUGGCCCAUGACACCACCUCUUCACAGGCAGGCUUUUGUGUAGUCAGCCCCUCUCACACUGUAUCAGUGUUGGCCUGUCAGACAAGAGGGGUGGAAGUGAUGGCAUGUCACUCCUGAGAUUACAUCAUAAAAGACAUUGUGGCUUUCAUCUAGGCUUGCUACAUGCUCAUUCUUGUGGAUCCCUUGUUCUGGGGGAAGCCAUCUAUCAUGUCAUGGUAGGCUACAGGGAGUUCCAUGUGGGGAAGAACUGAAACCUCCUCCCAACAGCCAUGUGAGGAAGCUUGGAAAACCUUAGAAGAGUAUCCUUUAAAAAAAAGUUUUAAAUUAAACACAAAUAAAUACAUAAACAGUACAACUGCAAUCUCAUGAGACAUCCCAAGCGAGACAACUCAGCAACAGAUAACGAACACAGACAAACCUCAAAGGUGAGUUAGAAGGGAAUAUGUCGAGACAGGAGAACCAUGAGCCUGGGAUCUUGAGAAUAUGUCAUGGAAGACAGCCUGGAAUACGGUGGCUAAUACUACUGAAUGGCAGAGGAUUGGAAUUUUCAACAAAGAGCAUGGUGGCUCAUGGCUAUAAUCCCAGCAUUUUGGGAG
rnacentral:lncRNA from 1 species